rnacentral:rRNA from 1 species
GAGUUUGAUCCUGGCUCAGAACGUACGCUGGCGGCACGCCUAACACAUGCAAGUCGAACGAAGUAGCAAUACUUAGUGGCAGACGGGUGAGUAACAUGUGGGUAUCUGCCCUUUGGCCUGGAAUAACACGAGGAAACUUGUGCUAAUACCGGAUAAGUCUUUACGGAGAAAGCUUUAUGCACCAUUGGAUGAGCCUGCACUUGAUUAGUUUGUUGGUGGGGUAAUGGCCUACCAAGACUGUGAUCAAUAGCUGAUUUGAGAGGAUGAUCAGCCACAUUGGGACUGAGACACGGCCCAAACUCCUACGGGAGGCAGCAGUGGGGAAUCUUGCACAAUGGAGGAAACUCUGAUGCAGCGAUGCCGCGUGAGUGAAGAAGGCCCUUGGGUUGUAAAGCUCUUUCGUCGGGGAAGAAAAUGACUGUACCCGAAUAAGAAGGUCCGGCUAACUUCGUGCCAGCAGCCGCGGUAAUACGAAGGGACCUAGCGUAGUUCGGAAUUACUGGGCUUAAAGAGCUCGUAGGUGGUUGAAAAAGUUAGUGGUGAAAUCCCAGAGCUUAACUCUGGAACUGCCAUUAAAACUUUUCAGCUAGAGUAUGAUAGAGGAAAGCAGAAUUUCUAGUGUAGAGGUGAAAUUCGUAGAUAUUAGAAAGAAUACCAAUUGCGAAGGCAGCUUUCUGGAUCAUUACUGACACUGAGGAACGAAAGCAUGGGUAGCGAAGAGGAUUAGAUACCCUCGUAGUCCAUGCCGUAAACGAUGUGUGUUAGACGUUGGAAAUUUAUUUUCAGUGUCGCAGCGAAAGCGAUAAACACACCGCCUGGGGAGUACGACCGCAAGGUUAAAACUCAAAUGAAUUGACGGGGACCCGCACAAGUAGUGGAGCAUGUGGUUUAAUUCGAAGAUACGCGCAGAACCUUACCAACACUUGACAUGUUCGUCGCGACUCUAAGAGAUUAGAGUUUUCGGUUCGGCCGGACGAAACACAGGUGCUGCAUGGCUGUCGUCAGCUCGUGUCGUGAGAUGUUGGGUUAAGUCCCGCAACGAGCGCAACCCUCACUUUUAGUUGCCAUCAUUAAGUUGGGCACUCUGAAAGAACUGCCAGUGAUAAGCUGGAGGAAGGUGGGGAUGACGUCAAGUCCUCAUGGCCCUUACGUGUUGGGCUACACACGUGCUACAAUGGUAUCUACAACAGGAAGCAAGACUGCGAAGUUAAGCAAAUCCCUAAAAGAUACCUCAGUUCGGAUUGCACUCUGCAACUCGAGUGCAUGAAGCUGGAAUUACUAGUAAUCGUGGAUCAGCGUGCCACGGUGAAUGCGUUCCCGGGUCUUGUACACACCGCCCGUCACACCAUGGGAGUUGGUUCUACCUUAAGGCAAGGUUUAAAACCCUUGACCACGGUAUAGUCAGCGACUGGGGUGAAGUCGUAACAAGGUAACC